rnacentral:rRNA from 1 species
UACGUAGGGUGCGAGCGUUGUCCGGAAUUACUGGGCGUAAAGAGCUUGUAGGUGGUUUGUCGCGUUGUUCGUGAAAUCUCACGGCUUAACUGUGAGCGUGCGGGCGAUACGGGCAGACUAGAGUACUGCAGGGGAGACUGGAAUUCCUGGUGUAGCGGUGGAAUGCGCAGAUAUCAGGAGGAACACCGGUGGCGAAGGCGGGUCUCUGGGCCACUACUGACGCUGAGAAGCGAAAGCGUGGGGAGCGAACAGG